rnacentral:misc_RNA from 1 species
AACGCACAUUGCGCCCUUUGGUAUUCCUUAGGGCAUGCCUGUUCGAGCGUCAUUUAAACCCUCAAGCACAGCUUGGUGUUGGGUGUCUGUCCCCCCGGACCGGGGGGACUCGCCUCAAAUGCAUUGGCAGCCGGCACGUUGGCUUCGAGCGCAGCAGAUAAGCGCCCGGCGUCUGGCGGUGGCGGCUCUCCAGCAAGGAAACCCACUAUUUUGACCUCGGAUCAGGUAGGGAUACCCGCUGAACUUAA